CACUAAAAUCAUCCCCGCCCAAAUUUUCCCAAUUUCUCAAAAACCCAAAUUCCCCCUAAUCCUUGAAACCUAAAUUGAGCAUUUUCCCUCGAACAUCCCUCUCUUUGUCUCGCUAUCAAUCCAACAGCAAUAAGCAUCCAUCAUUCGAGGUCUGUGUGACCUACAGCUUCUAGCAGUGGUGCUGCUCAAGCGGUAUAAAGGGGCUGACUUGGGGAAGUGGCACAUUUGGUCAACUUGUUCAUGGAGAUCUGGUUAAUAACUUAGAGCCAAAAUCAGUACAAGUUCUAUAUAACUUCAAUAUAACCCAUGUUUCAGCCGGAUGGAACUAGGGGUGCAAACGUGCCAAGCCGAGCCUAAGCUCUAUUAGAUUCAAGUUUUGUUUCUAAGAAGGUAUUUUGAUUUAGUAACAUGUCAAAACUUAAAAAAAAUUCUAAUUUUAUAAGGGUGAAAACUUUGAUUCA